UAGUCACUAUAUAUGAAAGGUUUCAUCUAUCUGCAAUGGGGAGGAGAAAGAAAACUUCUCUCUUAAUAGAAAUAAAGAGAAGAAUUUGGUAUUGUGUGUAUUUGUAUGUAUAUAUCUGUUCCAACGUAGGUGCCUACGUCCCUAAUUCUAUGGCUAGGGAUAGACCGCGUACGUGCUAUAUGAGUGGUUGUACCAGUCCUGUUCUAAUCUUCUUCUUUGGCUCUCUUUAUUUUCUGGAGAGUUCAGUGGGUUUGGAAUUUGGAAUCUUUUUGGACUUCAGAGAUGAGGUCAGAGAUGGAGGGGAGGGGAGACUCCCUCGUGGGGCUGGGGGGCGAAGUCGAUGUCAAUGGGCGAUGGAGAAGGAGACUAGGCUCGGGGGAUGUGUUUUACGCAACGUUGAAAAAUAAAAUAAAAUAAAUAAAAGCAGUGCACCGUGGAGGGGCCACGUCAAACGGGAAGAGAAAGCGGGAUCAACGAGCGGGGUCUGAAGCAUUUUCCUUUCAUCAGAUAUUGACGGAUUCGGCAGAGGAGUUUCGGAGGGUGGCUAGUAUUCCGGAGGAAUUAGGUUGGGUUCUUCUUCGUUUACGUGUUUGAUUUGGACUAUAACACUCACUUAUUCCUUGACCGGUAUCACCAGUCUGUUGCCUUCAAAGAUAUGGUUACUGCCUUCAAAGGGGUGGUACGAGGAUGACAGAGGAGGACAGAGCUGGCCCUCCUAAAGGGGGUGCACAUGUCAGUUUCUGUCGAGAUUCCAGUGCACAUCAUACAAAUGAAGAUCAUUUUGAGGUAUGUGAGUUUUUUUUUUUUUUUUUUAAACCUUGUUUGUAAUCUCUGGUGGAGAGAAAUGGAAAAUUUUUUUGAGGUUCCAAGUUUCAGUAGAUAUGAACCCUGCUCCUCAGUUGUUUGAUGUUUUACCACAAAUGGGUGUUUUUGGGCCAUUUGAUAGAGGAAGGUAAAGAACUCCUGAGGGGAUAAAUUGUAAUAGCCCGGUGGUUAUUGAGCUUCUAAAGAACCCAUCAAAUAAGGUGCAAAUGGUAUCACCUCAGCUGCAGGAUUUUGACAAUCGGGAAGAUGAUGGAAAACCAGGAUUUGGUGUUCAGUUUAUGAAGGUUAGCAUGAAAAGGGGCUGGCUCGAUUUUACGGCUGUGGAGAAUGAGGUUAUUUAUUUAUUUAUUUUUUUAUCAGGUAAACCAGUCAAUUCUUGGCAUUCAUGUGAUAGACGUGCAGUUCAUUGAAGUCAAUUUUUAGGAAUCUUUGGUAUCUGAAUUUUCUCCAUCUAGCUCAAGUGCCAUGGGCCUUCCUAGGGAGUUUCAGGAGCAAUCCCGGAGAUCAUUAGGGCUCGAAAUGUUGCUGUAAGUGUCACAAACAGGAUAAUUGAACCCAACUGUGCAGUAUCAGAGGUUAAAGUUUAUAAUGCUGCAUUGCGCCUCAUGCUUCAGAUCCUGAAUUGGGAUUUUCGGUACAACAACAACAGCAUGAAAUCCAGUAUAAGUGUUUUCUCUACAGUAGCUAGGCAUGAUAUUGAUUCACCUAGGGGAUCUGAGUGUACAUUAGUGCAGCCUGAUCCUGCUUGGCAUGAUGUUUUGCUGUCAAGUGGCCAUAUAGGGUGGCUCCUGAGCUUAUAUGUGGCGCUUAGACAGAAGUUUUUGUAUGAAGGUUAUUGGAUUGACUGCCCUAUUGCAGUCUCUGCUCGUAAAUUAAUUUUGAAGUCCUGCUCAUUGACAGGUCACAUUAACCAUUUUUCUUUCCGAUAAUGGAAAAAUACAUGAACAUCAUUUUCUGCAGCUGCCCUCAGGGAUGAUAGACUGGAUUGAUCCUCCUGAUGUAGUUUCAAAAUCGAUUGAAUGUAGAAAAUUGAAAGUGAGAGGCUCGAUGGUUGUCGUGUAUUGUUGUCUGUUGCAAAUGUAACAACUUCCUUUGUGUUUGACCAACUCUUGAAGUCCAUGAGGCCUUUUGGCGCUCUUACCCUAUUAUCCACCUUAAUGUGUGAGGUCAUUAAAGUCCCUAUGAUGGGUAACACUGAAGAGGAGACAUGGAGCUAGGUGGGCCAUGAUAUCUUGCUGGAUACAUGGGCUACCCUUCUUGAGCCAUUUGAUACUACUGGUGGGAAAUCAAUGCUUCCUCCUGAAGGUGUUAAUGCUGUUCUGGCAAUCUCCAUGCCUUGAUUGUAGAGUUGGGGCUAAAAGUGGCUGUAUCUUCUACAUUGACCGAUGACGAUGCUGAUGACUACCCUCACACUUCAAUAUCUGCCAUGGAUGAAAGGGUAGGGGAGUCAUUUAUCCAACUGAAAUUUUGGAGGGAGUUUAUUCACUUUGACUGAUUGCUGGGCAUGUUGGUGCUGUUGAAUGGGAAGGAACAGACCCUCAAACUCAAGAUUUGUCACCAUGGACAGUAGGUAAACCUAGACUUUAUUAGUGUGGAGUUGGAUUUUGGUUUGAUUAAAGGAUGGGAGUUUUAAUGGAUUGUGGGCAUUGUUGCAAAAAAUUAAUCACUUUAAUUUGUAUUGUUGGGAGGGAUUUCAGAUGAUUGAAUUCUUGGUGACAGUUGUGGAUUUGCACAGUUUGGCCAUUGACGAGUAUAUUGGGUGUGGUUUUGGGGUCAGUUGAUGUUAUGAAGGGUUAUGGUUUUUAGGUGUAAGAUAACAAUGAGUUUUGUGUAGUUGUAUUAACAUGAGCAUUUUUUAAAAGACGAGGAUUCUAUCUUGGAUGGAAUUGUGUGAACAAAACAAGCUGGGUAUCCUUUGAAUGGAAGAGUCAUGUAUACCUAAAAUCUUUGUUGUGGAUUCAUUGGUGUAUUAAUCCUGUUUUAUUUAGCAACUAAGCCCCUCAUGUAAAAUAGUUUCACAACUACGUGACCUUUUGAGAUGGGAAUAUUGUUAAUCUGAAGUACGAAGAGAAGCUAGUAUAUUGCAAUUUGCAACAUGUAUUGCAAUAUUGUUUCUUUAUUCCAUUGUUUGAUUCUUUAUACUGGUUUAUUACUUGAAGUAGCUGCCAUGCUUAGCUACCAUAUAUAUUCCAUUGGUUUUGGUGAAAACUCAUGUAUAUGCUUACUUCCAUCUGUCUCCUUAAUCAUGUAAGAUUUUCUUCUUCUUUGUUAGUGUUUUGUGCGUGGGAAGGGUUCACUAACAUGAAAGUUUGGAGAAAAUGUUGCCGCACUCUUUUUAUUGCUCUGUGGUUUCUAACUUACUUCAGCCGGUAUGGCUGGUAACUUAUUAAGGAUAUCUCUUAUGUUGGUCAGAUGGAUAAAUUAUGGAUGCCAGAUUUUGUAGUCCAAUCAUAUGGUUCUAUUUGCAGUGCUAUUCCUAGUGUUAAACAUACAUAGUAAGGUAAAUACUACUUUUUCUCAACAAAUCUGGACAGUUUUUUCUAAGAUAAGAAGACAAAAGGCAUAAUGUUUGGUUUUUGUCUUGUUUUUUUUCUAAGAUAUUUACUACUUGGUAAGUGUAUUUUUUUAACAUUUCUCCACUAGCUCCUGUGUAUAUAUGCAGUAAAUUAGUUGUUGUUCCUUGCCUAAAACGUGUAUUGCUUUCAAGCUUUUCUGUUUCUAGCUUCCUGACCAUGGGUGACUGGCUUUUGCUACAAAAAAGAGCAACUUUCAGAGCAAUGAGGGAAACUGUAGUCAAGUUUGACAUUCGGCUUCUUGCAAGAUAAAAAUUCUUGUGAUACACAUUUCAUUGUAGGCAAGACUUUGGUUGGGUGUGAAGGCAUGCAAAUGCUAUAAUGGCAACAAGCAAAAUAUCUCGUCCAAUUAGACGAUUUUGAGAUGGCAGGUGCUGGUCUAAUAUUUCAUUUAGCAUCAUAUUUUGUGAUGAUGUUGAUGAUGAUAAUGAGGACAGGAGUUCUCCUAGAUGCUUUCCCAUUAAUACUUUUAGCACCACCACUCUAAAGCUAUAUAUAUCGCAUUUUUUAGUAA